rnacentral:rRNA from 1 species
UACGUAGGGGGCGAGCGUUGUCCGGAUUUACUGGGCGUAAAGCGCGCGUAGGCGGCCCUGUAAGUCCGUUGUGAAAGUCAAAGGCUCAACCUUUGAAAGCCGAUGGAUACUGCAGGGCUAGAGUUCGGAAGAGGCGAGUGGAAUUCCUGGUGUAGCGGUGGAAUGCGCAGAUAUCAGGAGGAACACCAAUAGCGAAGGCAGCUCGCUGGGACGAUACUGACGCUAAGGCGCGAAAGCGUGGGGAGCGAACAGG